rnacentral:rRNA from 1 species
UACAGAGGUCUCAAGCGUUGUUCGGAUUCAUUGGGCGUAAAGGGUGCGUAGGUGGCGCCGUAAGUCAGGUGUGAAAUUUCGGAGCUUAACUCCGAAACUGCAUUUGAUACUGCGAUGCUUGAGGACUGGAGAGGAGACUGGAAUUUACGGUGUAGCAGUGAAAUGCGUAGAUAUCGUAAGGAAGACCAGUGGCGAAGGCGGGUCUCUGGACAGUUCCUGACACUGAGGCACGAAGGCCAGGGGAGCAAACGGG